rnacentral:rRNA from 1 species
GAUGAACGCUGGCGGCGUGCCUAAUACAUGCCAGUCGAGCGAACAGACGAGGAGCUUGCUCCUCUGACGUUAGCGGCGGACGGGUGAGUAACACGUGGAUAACCUACCUAUAAGACUGGGAUAACUUCGGGAAACCGGAGCUAAUACCGGAUAAUAUAUUGAACCGCAUGGUUCAAUAGUGAAAGACGGUUUUGCUGUCACUUAUAGAUGGAUCCGCGCCGCAUUAGCUAGUUGGUAAGGUAACGGCUUACCAAGGCAACGAUGCGUAGCCGACCUGAGAGGGUGUUCGCCACCACUGAACCUGGGCACCGGUCCAGACUCCUAGGGGAGGCAGCGUAGGGAAAUCUUCGGCAAGGGGGGAAAGCCUACGGGGGCAACGCGGCGGGAGUGAGGAAGGUCUUCGAAUCGUAAAACUCUGUUUUAGGGAAGAACAAAUGUGUAAGUAACUAUGCACGUCUUGACGGUACCUAAUCAGAAAGCCACGGCUAACUACGUG